rnacentral:rRNA from 1 species
CCUACGGGAGACAGCAGUGAGGAAUAUUGGUCAAUGGACGAGAGUCUGAACCAGCCAAGUAGCGUGAAGGAUGACUGCCCUAUGGGUUGUAAACUUCUUUUAUAUGGGAAUAAAAUGUUCCACGUGUGGGAUUUUGUAUGUACAAUAUGAAUAAGGAUCGGCUAACUCCGUGCCAGCAGCCGCGGUAAUACGGAGGAUCCGAGCGUUAUCCGGAUUUAUUGGGCUUAAAGGGAGCGUAGGUGGAUUGUUAAGUCAGUUGUGAAAGGUUGCGGCUCAACCGUAAAAUUGCAGUUGAAACUGGCAGUCUUGAGUACAGUAGAGGUGGGCGGAAUUCGCGGUGUAGCGGUGAAAUGCUUAGAUAUCACGAAGAACUCCGAUGGCGAAGGCAGGUUCCUGGACUGCAACUGACACUGAGGCUCGAAAGUGUGGGUAGCAAACAGGAUUAGAUACCCCUGUAGUC